UCCAGUCCUCGCCCAGGAGCAGAGGGCAGCCAUUUCUGGAUUCAGCCCUCCACAUGCUGGACCCUCCAAUACAUCUCUUUCAUGAGAUUUGGUGCCUGGUGUGACUCUCUCGUCGCAAGAAGCCAUGAAGACAAAAAGUAAAGAUGUGGACUGGGGCUGAGGCUCCUGAGCGCCUGAGUUCAGUUGGGGAUCCCCUUCCCUCGGAGCUGCAAUGCUUCUGCUGAGGAAGAGACUUCCUCUCAGAGCCGUAAGGUCCCUGGGCUCCCAUGCCCCAGGAUGCCCUUCCACUG
rnacentral:lncRNA from 1 species